rnacentral:tRNA from 1 species
CGGGAUAUGGGGCAGCCCGGAGUGCCCGCCUGCUCGGGAUGCAGGAGAGCGAAGGUUCAAAUCCUUCUAUCCCGA